CGGAGGAAGGUGGGGAUGACGUCAAAUCAUCAUGCCCCUUAUGUCUAGGGCUGCAAACAUGCUACAAUGGCCGGUACAAAGGGCUGCGAUACCGAGAGGUGGAGCGAAUCCCAAAAAGCCGGUCUCAGUUCGGAUUGGGGUCUGCAACUCGACCCCGUGAAGUUGGA
rnacentral:rRNA from 1 species